rnacentral:rRNA from 1 species
CCUACGGGAGGCAGCAGUGAGGAAUAUUGGUCAAUGGGCGUAAGCCUGAACCAGCCAAGUCGCGUGCGCGAUGAAGGUUCUCUGGAUCGUAAACCUCUUUUAUAAGGGAAUAAAGUGUGGGACGUGUCCUAUUUUGUAUGUACCUUAUGAUUUAGGAUCGGCUAACUCCGUUCCAGCAGCCGCGGUACUACGGAGGAUCCGAGCGUUAUCCGGAUUUAUUGGGUUUAACGGGUGCGUAGGCGGCCUUUUAAGUCAGCGGUGAAAGUCUGUGGCUCAACCAUAGCAUUGCCGUUGAAACUGGGGAGCUUGAGUAUGUUUGAGGCAGGCGGAAUGCGUGGUGAAGCGGUGAAAUGCGUAGAUAUCACGAAGAACCCCGAUUGCGAAGGCAGCCUGCCAAGUCAUGACUGACGCUGAUGCACGAAAGCGUGGGGAUCAAACAGGAUUAGAUACCCCGGUAGUC